AAGCCCCCAUUCCUGGAUUUAAACAGCCAUCUUCUUAUGGCUGUAUCCUACUACUGCAACUUUGCCAUCUUCUGCUAGCCAUGUGACUCCUGGAAUGUCCUUAGUCCUCUCCUCACCUCUCCCACCACUGUUGUGCUCAUUCCUGUCUCUAGGCUAGCUCCUAAAUAUAGCUACCAUACUGAAACUGGACCAAGUAGAAAGCAUCAUUUCUGUUUCAUGUAACAAAUAUGCUAGGUUCUGAAAAGAAACAUCGGACAUUUAUUUGAAGCCAAGACAAAGAGAUUUUCAGAUACCUAUAAAUGAAGUCAGUAAGCUGAAAGUAUCAGUAAGCUGAAAGUAUCAGUAAGCUGAAACAUAUGAAGAUGAAAUCAAGAGUCAUGAAUUGAACAAACACACUGGAAAGCUUCAUUAACUGUUUUUCAAGCUGAUGGGGGUAAUUUACUGCUCUUGCACUUCCUGGCUAAGCCAAAAGGAUUAAUGUGUUGUGAAAUGAGGAGUGGUGGUGGAAACAGACUCCCAGUGGGGCAGGAGAGUGCAAUGCUUCGAGUCUCAGAAUUCAAGAUUCAGCAUGUUGAUCUAAAUGGCUUAGCAGCAGGCUUCAAAGAGACUCUCCAAAAACAAUAACACUGCAGAGGCUUUUGAAGUCCCUAAAAUCUUAUAG